rnacentral:rRNA from 1 species
AACGAACGCUGGCGGCAGGCCUAACACAUGCAAGUCGAACGCUGUAGCAAUACAGAGUGGCAGACGGGUGAGUAACGCGUGGGAACGUGCCCUUCGGUUCGGGAUAACUCAGGGAAACUUGAGCUAAUACCGGAUACGCCCUUUGGGGGAAAGAUUUAUUGCCGAAGGAUCGGCCCGCGUCCGAUUAGCUAGUUGGUGAGGUAAAGGCUCACCAAGGCGACGAUCGGUAGCUGGUCUGAGAGGAUGAUCAGCCACACUGGGACUGAGACACGGCCCAGACUCCUACGGGAGGCAGCAGUGGGGAAUAUUGGACAAUGGGCGCAAGCCUGAUCCAGCCAUGCCGCGUGAGUGAUGAAGGCCCUAGGGUUGUAAAGCUCUUUCGCCAGGGACGAUAAUGACGGUACCUGGAUAAGAAGCCCCGGCUAACUUCGUGCCAGCAGCCGCAGUAACAC